AGAGGGCAGGGAACAGAGUUGGCAUUCCUGGAGAGAAUCCUGGGAGCAGGCACGAGGGAACCGCCGGGGGCAGAAGGAUACAAAGACAGAGAAAAACAGAUGCAGAGAAAGAUCCUUCCUGCAGACAGGUCACACCUUUCAGAGGAUGGGUGGGGCUCUGUCUUUCGGACUCAAGCCCCAAAUGGGUGCAGACCCCCACACAAGGAGGCACCCCUGCCCUGACAGCCCCUGGCAUGGCUUCUGGCCUGGGUGGGCCCCUACCUCUUCCUCUGUGACCCAGGCCAGUAGAGUACUCAGUGCUGAGUGCAGCUCUGGGGUAGGUCUGAGCUCUUGGGGUCCUCUCCGUGCAGAGCAUCUACUCAGGGUUCUCUUGCCCGAUACUGGUCACAUAACCAACACUGGCUCGGGUGACAAAGAGCUGACUGCCCCCAGGCCUGGCCUCAUACAUCCCUGAGAACUGGGCCAACUCAGCCCGGGGCAGAGGCCAGAUGUCUGAAGAUGCCAGGCACUCGGGCUAAGCUCAUUUCUCGUUGGUGACGUGAGCGCCCCUGAAGUUAUCAAAGGUCUGAGAGACCAUCUGCCAAGAGGGAGGCAGAGAAGCUCUUCCUGCCUCUGUCCCUAGCCAGACUUCCCGCACCUUGCUGCCACCCUUCCAUCUCCAGGCCCUCCUGAUGCCACCUGGCCAGCUCUCUACUCACUGGCUAUCCCUACCUGGUCCCCAAGCCCUUAAGAGACACAGCAUGGAAUGCAGUAUCUGGGCCCGAGCACUCCACCGUAGCCUGGCUGCUCACACAAGCCCAGGCCAGUGGGACAGACCACCUGCCACCUGGUCACGAGGCUCCGCCCCUUGGAAAUCACUCUAGAUCUCACGUCCGAUCAAUGGCGAGCACACAUGCCUUAACUCAGCAUGCAUGUGACAAGACCGCUUGGUCACCCAGGGAGGGCUAGAGGAGACGGAGGAGCAGGUGUCAACUUACAAGAUCAGGGGCCUCGGAGUCCGGCUGCCUCUUCCUGAGGGAUGAAAACCUCUGCUGGCUGCGGGCGGAGAAGCGGCGGAAGGACUCCCGGCUGCGAGAGGCCAGGUGUCUGAAGGAGGAUGUGCGCUUGAAGGGGGUGCUGCGGACGGCAGGCUCCCCGCUCCGCUCGGCGCCCACCGUGGCCGUCACAAGGUGCAGGGCCUCUUGGAAGGACCUCCUCACCGUGCCCACCCACUGAGACAUGUGCGUCUGGGCCACCGAAAGCUUGUCACCCAGGUAAUCCAUGAGGCCAGCCUGGAGGAGGAGGGGGGUGCCAGGCGGAGGCAGUUAGGAGGCCAACGCUGCCAAGGUCCUGGUCCUUCUGUCGGUGGCGGUCCUUGGGGAGAAGUUCUGGGCUCCGAUGGAAAACCCGGCAGAGCACAUCAGCCCAAGUAAAGUAAACAUCGCCCGACAGGCAUCCGAGGGUCACAAAACAGGGACAGUGACGGGUCAGCUCGGGGCCACCAGGAGCAUCAAGUCAACCAACCAGGACGUCCAGUUCUAGUCCCCAGGGCCAGCCCUGCUGAAUUCAAGGAGCAGGAGGCUGUCCUUCUCACCUGAACUAGGCGGACCUCCAGUCCUCCCUCCGGAGCCGCUAAACCCGAAGCUGAACCUGCUGGCCAGCAGGCAGUGCACUCGCUUCCGGAGAGGCGGACACCCAGCCCGGGUCCCCUGGCCCGGCAGCCCAGAAUGACAUCAGCCCCCUGUCUUGGCGAGGGGCACACAGCCCAGGAAUGCAGGAGGGGCCUCGGGAGGUGGGGGAGGUGGCCGCCCAGGGAGCUGGCGUCAGCCCCAGUUUUGUUUUUUUUUUCCCCCUAAGUCUCAACUCGCUCGCUGUCCCUCGGGGACUUCAUGUGCCAGACUGCCUACCCAGCCCAGGCAGCACCGUGCAGAGACGUGGCUGCUGGGCGUGCGGGUGUGUUCGCAUGUGGGGGCACGUGCGUGGGAGGGAGGCGCGGCUGCCCCCGGGGGAGGGGGAGGGAUGCCGGAUCUGGUCUGUGCCUCUGGGGCUUCAGGUGGAGUCUGAGGACCUGUGGCUGGCUGUCGGUCUGUCUCCCUCUCCCGGCGGCACCCUUCUGCUUCCUCUCCCUGCCUCCGACUGCACUUGGCGAGCUCCAGGCUAAGCCUCCGCCAUCAGCUCCUCCUCCUUCCCCUUGCCCCCUCCCCCGACUACCCCUGCUGCCUCUCCUGGAGGACAGAGGGUGCAAGUGACCCGCCCUGAGCUCCCCACGGGGGUGGAGCUGGGGCUGGGGCUGGGGCUGAGGUGCCUGUAUUUUGGUACAGACAGGGGUUGCCAUGGGAACUUGGGGGCACAGCAUCUGCCCCUUCCCUAGGCUGGGCACAAGGUGCCAUGGGGAUGAUUCAGGAGAUCACGUGAAGAAAUGCCAGCUCUGAGAGGUAGAUUCAUUGGUCCAAGGUAAAGCUAUCAAAGUUUGCUUGAAAAUGCCUCCCUCUCCACUGCUGUGUGAUAGGUCUGACCUGCAACUUGCCCACUGUGAGGACUCAAAAAUAUUGACUUUUCAAAAGCCAGGCCAAAUCCAAGGUUGAAAUCCACAUCAGCCCAACUGCCUGGUGUGAUCUCUGUACCACCCCCUCACCUCUGUCCUGAAUAAAUAUUUGCUCUCUAGA